AACAACUCCUUUAAUGUGUAAUAGCUUUGAAGUAUAUCAUAACUUUUUUUCAUCUUGAAUUCUUUCAAAGAUUUGCAGUUUCAUUUUUUGCCCACCAACUGUUUCUGAAAAUGCCUCAACCAAAUUUCAUCCAUCAUUCAUCAAAUUAUGUUAAUAUAUAUUGUGGGUUCUUCAAGUUUAUGUAACUGGUUUGAGAAAAUUAAUGAUUUUGGUUUGAGGCUUAAAAAUUUCUUUGAACAAAAAGAGUACUGGAAAAUGGAAAGAUAUUUUUUUUUUAGUGUUUGUAUUUUUUUUUUAGUGUUUGUUGUGUUUUAAAAUCACCACUAAAUAAAAGCCAAUAGAUUUUUUUUAGCCUGUUAUGUAAUUUUGUGGAGUAUAAAGAGAGAGAGAAUGAUAACUAAAUGUAGCAAAGUUGGUUGGUUGGCCUCUCAGGCGAGUAGCUUUUGCUCCUUAACUUUCUUCAGAUACAUUGGGAUUGUUUGUGUUAGGAUCAAAAUAAUUAGGUGUCAUGCAAAUUCUAAUGAAGCAAACCGCGGAAGAUGAUUUGUUACGAGCUUUAAUAUUAGAAUUUACAGCCAAAAAGGAAAUUUAUGGGAAGAUAGAGGGUUAUAGGCUGAUGUUAUCACUUUAAGCCUGUACAUCAAAUUUUCUUUUCGCUUUGGUGAGAUGGAUGUGUAUAUUGCUUGAAAAUUUAACACUUUAGACUAACACAUCAUCUUUUGGCUUUUACCUAGGAAGAAGAAGAAGACAUGAUCUCCUUGAUUCACAUAUCGCUUGUCUGUAACUUGUGAAGAUGAGAAGAUAUUUAAAAGGUACGAGUUCGUUGUGAUGAGCAUGUUUUCAGUGAAAACAAAUGUUAAGAGAAAUUUUCAGAACAAUAUGAGAUGAGACUUUGGGAGGGUAUUAGCCAUCUCUAUUCUUUGAAAGUUAUGUUUAAAAUCAAACGGUUCGAAAUAUUGACAAAUGACAAAGUUUUCGGAAAUAAAAAGAAAUUAGUAAUGACGCAACUUAUAUUAUCUCAGACACUUGUCACAUCUUGACCUCAAAUUCAAAAAAAGUAAUUAGUAUCAUAGAAAUUUGAGGAAGAAACUCAUUAAAAAAUGAAGCACCACAAAAGAAUUAACAAUUCGGCCAAAAAUGAAUGUCGUCAAAGGUUGAGUUAGUCCUUUGCCAGUAGUUCCAAAAGUUCCAAUGGUCAUUAGUGUAAUAUCGAUGCUUGGGGGUAAUCUCUCUUUGGCUUCUUCGGUUCCUGAAGUGCAACUGUCCCAUUAUAUUCCAACCUUGGAAAAGCUUGCAACUCUGAGGUUGCUUCAGCAGGUUCUCGCAUUUAUCUUUGGAGUCCUUUGUCAUUUGAUAUUUUGUCUUACAUUUUAACUUUUGACUGUGGUUAUUUUGUUCUUUAUAUGUCUACAGGUAUCUUAGGUGCAUCUGACAAUUCAGAUUAGUGACCUAUCUAAGAAGAUUCUAUUCUUUGACUUUGCUGUUAUUGAGAAGAUUUCUAUGAAUGCUAUUAGGCAUAAUUUUGUAGCCAUUAAAGUUAAUCAAAUUAAGGGUGAUGUCUUCUUCGGUACACAGGAUGCUUGGUGAAUGGAUUAUGAUGAUAUAUGAAGUAUAUACAAGCUUCAAAUCAAGUGGAAACAACUCAAAAAGGCUCGAAAUGGCUCAACGAAAGCACAAUACAAAAAUUGACUCCAUUUGGAGUCCUGAAAUGUCGAGGGCGCGUGUGGACGAUAGGAGUGGCCAAUUGACGUGUGCAAAACACCACUGGAUUCAUAAGAGGCCAAAAAUAAUGACCCAAUGGCGCGUGUAGCUUUUAAUGGCGAUGAAGGAGGCACCGCGAUGCGGUGUAAUCGUGGUAAGAUUCUGGAGUUUGACAAUUGCCAAUUCACUCACCACCGCGACGCGGUGGCCAUCAAAAGCGGAAAAAACUGCCCAGCUGAAAGGAAAUAACAUGGAAACCUAAUCCUAGUCGGUUUAUGACUUGUUUACUAUAAAUAUAACGUGUUAAAUCACGUUUUAAUCAUCUUGGAACCCCUAGAUCGAUUGGAACAACAUUGGAGAGUAAUGAGGCUGAAGGAUCCCGGGAUCAGUUAUCACUUUUUGCUGAAUUCCUUAGUAAGUUGCAGCAAGUCAUGAAGAUACUGACUGACAGGUUUUAAGAAUUAAUUUGCUGGAAUCAUAGUGGGAUGAAAAUGAUAAAUAAAUUCCCCUUUCCCAACAGAGAACAUGCAAAGUAUGACACCGUCAUUGUUCUCAACUCUUUGAUCACUGUGUUGUAUUUAUCAUAUGCUCAACGCAAUUGAGUGUUGUAACCUGUGUCAUAAGAACUGACCCCAGCUAUAGUAUUUCACUAUCCACAAGAGAAAAAUGCAUCAAUGUCAAUUUGUUAAAAGUAUUUUUCUAUUUUCGUUCUCUA